rnacentral:hammerhead_ribozyme from 1 species
AUCCAGCUGACGAGUCUCAAAUAGGACUAAACGCGCGUCCUGAAU